GCAGAGCCAGCAGCCCCCGAGGCCGAUCUCAUCCCCGGACGGGGGACCAGCCCCCCCAGUCAAGCACCCCCAAGGAGGAGCACCAAAACCUACCCUGACCAAAUACUGCUUUACGCUAACAUAGAAGAAAAAUCCUUCGGGUGCUUAGAAAAAUGGAAACUAAUGGAAAAAUGGAAACUGUAACAUUUCAAAUAUUAAGAUUGUUCUGACAACUGCUGCUUGCAAAGUCACAAAUUAACUUUAAAUCUUACGUUUAAUCCGGUUUAGACUUUCUUUCAUGUUUGAGUUCACCAUCUUGAAGGAAAUAAACUUAUCCUGAAAGCUUCCGCAGUUGUGGGGUCAUGGGUUGGCAUUGCAUAUUUCCAAGCGCAUCGUGCUUUUCAUGUUCAGAUCAAGCUGAAUGAGCUGAUAUACCGAGGGUGAGGUUUCAGUCCCACAAACACAGAUGCAGUCAGGAUGUCUGAUGUUCUCUAAAGGUCACAGUAGAGCUUCAGGUUGUUCAUCAUGUCAUAUUAAACCUUCCUGUGUCUACAUCUCUC